UAUAUACUCUCCCUUCUUUUAUGCAUCUAAUUAUAUGGCCUCUCCUUUAUGUGACCCGCUCAUUACACUUUUCCUUUCACCCAUCUCAUUUCAGCCCUGAAGGAUGCCCAUCUUACAGAACACGUCCUGAGACAGCUCAUUAAACCACCCCACGUAUUCACUUCAUUACAGCUUUUUAACAUAUACAUCUUAUUACAUGGAACUCUUCAUGAAUCUCAUUAAAAUCUCAGAAGAGCUAGCUCACUCUUGAAAACAUGUGGUCAUUCUGCCUCUCAGGAGCAACUGUAUAAGAUGUUUGUCCGACAUGGAGAGGUAAAUGGAAAGGAGAUGCUGGAGGAGGAAGAAGAAAAGGGAAAAGAAGAGAUAGAGGUACAAGGGAAAGGAGAAACUUUGGCCUUCUUCAUCAUAAGGAGCCAGGUGUGCUGGACUUGCAGGAACCAACUACAGCAUGGACUUCCUCUCACCUACAUGAGUUCUCCUGUGCUCCCCAGAUUGGAUUGUUUGUGCCAUAUUAGCUUUGUCUCAGCAAAUCAAGGUUCUGAAAUGUAGCUUCUUCCAAUUAAAAAAAAAAAAUUAAGGGAAUGAUUUUCCAGUGUUUUGUGAUGUUUUCAAGGGAAGUUGGAUUUAUGCAUUGAAAAAACAAACAAACAAACAAACAAACAAACAAAAACCCAUUAUUUUGCUUCUUCUGAAAGACCUUCCCUUGAUUUACCUGCCAGCUUGGGGCAUGCUCACAUUGUAAAGACUUUCGAAUGAUAAACAUAAAUUGCUCUAACAAAACUUUACACUAAAUCACUUUCUCAGCUGGCAAGUGUUACAGAGCAAAAUACUAAAUUUCAAAUCUGCUAUUGUUUAACUAUUCUGGAUCUUCCAAGGCCAGUGUUGAUGGGUAGUGUCCUGACUGAAAC
rnacentral:lncRNA from 1 species